rnacentral:rRNA from 1 species
ACAUGCAAGUCGAGCGAACGGACGAGAAGCUUGCUUCUCUGAUGUUAGCGGCGGACGGGUGAGUAACACGUGGAUAACCUACCUAUAAGACUGGGAUAACUUCGGGAAACCGGAGCUAAUACCGGAUAAUAUUUUGAACCGCAUGGUUCAAAAGUGAAAGACGGUCUUGCUGUCACUUAUAGAUGGAUCCGCGCUGCAUUAGCUAGUUGGUAAGGUAACGGCUUACCAAGGCAACGAUGCAUAGCCGACCUGAGAGGGUGAUCGGCCACACUGGAACUGAGACACGGUCCAGACUCCUACGGGAGGCAGCAGUAGGGAAUCUUCCGCAAUGGGCGAAAGCCUGACGGAGCAACGCCGCGUGAGUGAUGAAGGUCUUCGGAUCGUAAAACUCUGUUAUUAGGGAAGAACAUAUGUGUAAG